AGAACUACACUUCCCAAUGUUCUGAAGCAACGGAAGUGACUUCGAGCCGAUCGAGCUCGGAGAGCUCGGGAUCGGGGCCUGCCAGCUUGGGGACCAGUGCUCCCGGCUUCACGACAAACAAACUUUCAGGCUGACAAUGGUGCUGCUCAACCUGUACCGGAAUCCACAGAACACCGCCCAAACCGCAGACGGAUCGCACUGGACGGACCAUUUCUUGGGGGCAGGACGGACUGUCCUCUGCAGGCCACCACCUGAUUCCACCCUACCCCCUCCAGGUCACGUGCGCGACGUAGAGGUGCAAGAACAUUAUGAUAACUUAUUUGAGGUGAGGAUUGGCAGAGAUGGGUAGAGUUGUGGGCCAGGAGUUCAGCUGAACACCUCCUGGUCUCCGCAGGAGGUGAUUAUGGAACUGCAGGAGAAGUAC